rnacentral:tRNA from 1 species
GCCAUAGUGGCACAAAUAGUUAAGCACUCAGCUGCUAACUGAAAGGUCGGUGGUUUGAACCCACCCAGUGGCU